AUGGGUCGCGGCGGCAAGAAGCCCAGGGUGGAGUCGCCCGCCGCCGACGUCACUCUCGAUGACGACGUUCAGGAGGUCAAGGAAGAAGACGAAACCGGAGCCAUGGCGGUGGUGGCCGCCGGCAGCGCCGCCGCCCCGCGAGUGGAGAUCCUCGUCGAGUUCGACAAGUCCCUGCUGGACUGCCCCCUCUGCUCCCUGCCCCUCAAGCCUCCCGUCUUCCUGUGCCCGGCGAAGCACGCGGCGUGCGGCCCCUGCGCCGCGAACCUGGCCAGCAAGUGUCCGGCGUGCGACGGCGCGUACGAGCGCGACGAGGGGGCGUACGGCUACCUCCUGGCGGUCAGGGUGCCCUGCCCCAACCAGGCGUACGGCUGCGGGAGCUCCGUGGUGUACUGCAUGGCGGGCGACCACCGGCUGGUGUGCCCGCACGCGCCGUGCCGCUGCCCGGAGACCGGAUGCGGCUUCCUCGGCGCGCCGCCCGCUCUCCGCGUCCACCUCGCCGAGCGCCACGCGUGGCCCGUGACAAACAUCGCGUACGGCUCUGUGCUGGAGGUCCAGAUGCAGCCCGCGGAGCAGGGGCAGCGGCUGCUGGCCGCGGAGGACGGGGAGCAGCUGUUCCUGCUCGUGGCGAGCGAGCGCGGCGUCAAGGUGGUGCGCGUCACCGUGGCCGCGGACGAGGACGGCCCAUCGGCGUCAUGGUACAGGUGCAAGGUGUGGGUGCACGCGCCCGUGGACACGGACACCGGCCACAUGGACGUCCUCAUGCUGGACGCCAAGGUGGAGAGCUGCGCGGUGCCCUCCGAGGAGGCGGCCUUCGGCGCCGGUGGCAGGUACCUGCCGGUGCCGCCUGACAUGCCGUCUGACAUCCGUCUCCGCAUUGACAAGCAGGUCAAGGCGAGCAGGAGCCCCCGUUCCCGUGCCUGA
rnacentral:rRNA from 1 species